UUUAAAUGCACCAAAUAGCUCUUACCACAGGGCCCUACGCUUUUUCUGUCCAUAAAACUCUUCCCCUGGGAGCAUGACUUGAACCUUAAUUACCUUCUUGCCUUUGCCCAAAUGUCACUAAGUUAGCCCUUCCCUGAACACCUCAUACAAAAUACACCCCAACUCCUGCUCCUCCUUAUCCUGUUUCUUUCCACAGUACUUAUCACCAUCUGUCAUGUCAUAUAUACCUAUAUAGAGAUAUUAUAGAUACAUGUAAUAUCACAUAUUACAUAUAUACAUAUGUCAUAUUAUAUGUCAUAUCAUAUAUCACUUAUUGUCUAUUCUUCCCCACUCCUGUUCCCAGUGGAAUUUCCCUGCUCACUGGGGAGGAAGGAACUUUACCCCAGGCAUUAAUGCCAUAUUAGGAUAGGGCCUUGGCACAGUUGUUCAAAUUUCUCUAAUUCUCCCUUUUUAAAACCAGUUAUAACUUCAGGGCGCCUGGGUGGCUCAGUCGGUUAAGCAUCUGACUCUUGAUUUCAGCUCAGGUCAUGAUAUCAUGGUUCAUGAGUUCGAACCCUCCAUCGGGCUCAGCACUGCUGGUGCAAAGCCUGCUUGGGAUUCUCUCUCUUCCCCUCUCUCUCUGCCCUUCCCUUGCUCUCUCUC